UACGGGGGGAGCAAGCGUUGUUCGGAUUUACUGGGCGUAAAGGGCGCGUAGGCGGUCAGCACAAGUCAAUUGUGAAAUCUCGGAGCUUAACUCCGAAACUGCAUUCGAUACUGCCGUGCUUGAGGACUGGAGAGGAGACUGGAAUUUACGGUGUAGCGGUGAAAUGCGUAGAUAUCGUAAGGAAGACCAGUGGCGAAGGCGGGUCUCUGGACAGUUCCUGACGCUGAGGCACGAAGGUCAGGGGAGCAAACGGG
rnacentral:rRNA from 1 species